CAACCAACAACUUUCCUUCUGGCAUUGAUUUACCUAGCAGAUAACUUUACAGAUUUCUCCUCCUCCAUCUGCUACAGCACGUUCUUUGGCCACCUCUUCCUUACAUUUCAUACAACUUGCAUUCAGCAAUGUUUUUUUUUUUUUUUUUUGAGACAGGGUCUCACUCUGUUGCCCAGGCUAGGGUGCAGUGAUGUGCAAUCUUGCCUCACUGCAAACUCUGCCUUGCAGGCUCAAGUAAUCCUCCCACCUCAGCCUCCUGACUAGGUGGGACUGCAGUGCGUGCCAUCAUGCCCAGCUAAUUUUUGUAUCUUUUUUUUGUAGAGAAGGGGUUUCGCUGUGUUGCCCAGGCAUGUCUCAAACUCCUGGGCUCUAGCCAUCUGCCCACCUUGGCCAAAGAUGUCCACAUUUGAGAAUAUGUUACCUUAUGUGGCAAAAUGGACUUUGGAGAUGGGUUUAAGGAUUUUGAGAUGAAGAUAUUAUCCAGGAUUAUCUGAGUGGGUGCAGUGUAAUCAUGAGGGUCCUUAAAAAGUAGAAGAGAGAGGCAGAAGAGAUUAGAGAAGAUUUGACAGUGGAAGCAGGGUUGGAGUAAUACAGUGUGAUACACAUCCACCCUUGGGAGGCUGAGGCCGGAGAAUGGCUUGAACCCGGGAGGCGGAGCUUGCAGUGAGCCGAGAUUACUCAACCCAUCUUUGCUAGCUUUGGUGAUGAAAGAAGGGGACCCUGAGCCAAGGAAAGCAGGCAGCCUCUAAGAAGAUGAAAAAGGUAAGGAAGUAGAUUUUUUCCCUAGAGCUCCCAGAAAGUAUUGAAGCCCCACCAGCACCUUGGUUUAGCUUAGUGAGACCUAUAUCAGACUUCUGACUUGCAGACCUACGAGAUACAUUUGUGUUAUUUUAUGCCUUUGAAUUUGCGAUAAUUUGUUACAGGAGCAUACUAGUUUGCUAGGGCUGCCAUGACAAAGUAGCACAAACUAGGUGGCUUGAACAGCAGAAAUGAAUUGUCUCAAGUUCUGGAGGCCAGAAGUCCAAGAUCAAGUUAUCUCCAGGGUUGGUUCCUUUUGAAGGCUGUGAGGGAGAAUCUGUUCCAUGUCUUUCUCCUAGCUUCUGGUGGUUUACUGGCAAUCUUUGGCUUGCAGAUGCAUCACGCUGAUCUCAUUCUUCAUCUUCGCAUGGCAUUCUCCCUGUAUGUUCACAUAGUCUUUCCCUGUACCUGUCUUUGUUUCCAAAUUUUCUAAUCUUCUAAGGAUCCAGGUCAUAUUGGAUUGGGGUCCACCCUGAUUAUCCCCGUAGAGACCUUAUUUCCUAAUAAGAUUACAUUCUGAGGUACUGAGGAUUAGGACUCAACAUAUUUUUUUGGGGCGAUACAAUUCAGCCCAUGUAGGUAGAAACAGAAAACUAAAGCUACGUAAAAUUGAAUUGUUUUUCAAAAUGGAUGCUGAAUAUAAAUUGAUACAUUUAUAUUUUUGCUAUCAGUGAGUAAGAAUGCCCCUGGAUCCACAUUCUUAUCAACCAGUGCUUCCUAUUUACUGACUUUUAAGUUUGGCUAGUCUAGUGGGUAUGAAAUGGCAUUUCUUUGUGAUUGUAAUCUGCAUUUUUCUAAUUUCUAGAUUUAUAUGUAUGUUGUGAUGUAGAGAUUCAAUCUCAUUUUUUAUCCAAAUGGAUAUCCAGUCAUGCCAACACACUAUAUUGAAAAGUUUAUUUAUUCUCCAUUCAUCAGUGCUGCCUCUGUCCUAUAUCAAAUUUCAAUAUAUGUAUGACUGUAUCUGGGCUCUAUUAUGUUUGAUUUGUUAGUUUAUGCAUCUUGUGUUAAUACCACACUAUCUUAGUUAUAAUAGCUUUCUAAUAAGACUUAAUAUCCUGUAUUGAUAGUGUCCAUUGAUGUGCAAAAGUUUUCAAUUUUGAUGAAGUUUAUCUACUUUUUCUUUUGUUGCCUAUGAUUUUGGUGUCAUAUCAAAUAAAUCACUGCAAAUUCAAUG
rnacentral:lncRNA from 1 species